UUGUGAGGUUAAGCGACUAAGCGUACACGGUGGAUGCCCUGGCAGUCAGAGGCGAUGAAGGACGUGCUAAUCUGCGAUAAGCGUCGGUGAGGUGAUAUGAACCGUUAUAACCGGCGAUUUCCGAAUGGGGAAACCCAGUGUGUUUCGACACACUAUCAUUAACUGAAUCCAUAGGUUAAUGAGGCGAACCGGGGGAACUGAAACAUCUAAGUACCCCGAGGAAAAGAAAUCAACCGAGAUUCCCCCAGUAGCGGCGAGCGAACGGGGAGGAGCCCAGAGCCUGAAUCAGUGUGUGUGUUAGUGGAAGCGUCUGGAAAGGCGCGCGAUACAGGGUGACAGCCCCGUACACAAAAAUGCACAUAUUGUGAGCUCGAUGAGUAGGGCGGGACACGUGGUAUCCUGUCUGAAUAUGGGGGGACCAUCCUCCAAGGCUAAAUACUCCUGACUGACCGAUAGUGAACCAGUACCGUGAGGGAAAGGCGAAAAGAACCCCGGCGAGGGGAGUGAAAAAGAACCUGAAACCGUGUACGUACAAGCAGUGGGAGCCUCUUAAUGGGGUGACUGCGUACCUUUUGUAUAAUGGGUCAGCGACUUAUAUUCUGUAGCAAGGUUAACCGAAUAGGGGAGCCGAAGGGAAACCGAGUCUUAACUGGGCGUUAAGUUGCAGGGUAUAGACCCGAAACCCGGUGAUCUAGCCAUGGGCAGGUUGAAGGUUGGGUAACACUAACUGGAGGACCGAACCGACUAAUGUUGAAAAAUUAGCGGAUGACUUGUGGCUGGGGGUGAAAGGCCAAUCAAACCGGGAGAUAGCUGGUUCUCCCCGAAAGCUAUUUAGGUAGCGCCUCGUGAAUUCAUCUCCGGGGGUAGAGCACUGUUUCGGCAAGGGGGUCAUCCCGACUUACCAACCCGAUGCAAACUGCGAAUACCGGAGAAUGUUAUCACGGGAGACACACGGCGGGUGCUAACGUCCGUCGUGAAGAGGGAAACAACCCAGACCGCCAGCUAAGGUCCCAAAGUCAUGGUUAAGUGGGAAACGAUGUGGGAAGGCCCAGACAGCCAGGAUGUUGGCUUAGAAGCAGCCAUCAUUUAAAGAAAGCGUAAUAGCUCACUGGUCGAGUCGGCCUGCGCGGAAGAUGUAACGGGGCUAAACCAUGCACCGAAGCUGCGGCAGCGACGCUUAUGCGUUGUUGGGUAGGGGAGCGUUCUGUAAGCCUGUGAAGGUGUGCUGUGAGGCAUGCUGGAGGUAUCAGAAGUGCGAAUGCUGACAUAAGUAACGAUAAAGCGGGUGAAAAGCCCGCUCGCCGGAAGACCAAGGGUUCCUGUCCAACGUUAAUCGGGGCAGGGUGAGUCGACCCCUAAGGCGAGGCCGAAAGGCGUAGUCGAUGGGAAACAGGUUAAUAUUCCUGUACUUGGUGUUACUGCGAAGGGGGGACGGAGAAGGCUAUGUUGGCCGGGCGACGGUUGUCCCGGUUUAAGCGUGUAGGCUGGUUUUCCAGGCAAAUCCGGAAAACCAAGGCUGAGGCGUGAUGACGAGGCACUACGGUGCUGAAGCAACAAAUGCCCUGCUUCCAGGAA
rnacentral:rRNA from 1 species